GAUGAACGCUGGCGGCGUGCCUAAUACAUGCAAGUCGAGCGAACAGACGAGGAGCUUGCUCCUCUGACGUUAGCGGCGGACGGGUGAGUAACACGUGGAUAACCUACCUAUAAGACUGGGAUAACUUCGGGAAACCGGAGCUAAUACCGGAUAAUAUAUUGAACCGCAUGGUUCAAUAGUGAAAGACGGUUUUGCUGUCACUUAUAGAUGGAUCCGCGCCGCAUUAGCUAGUUGGUAAGGUAACGGCUUACCAAGGCAACGAUGCGUAGCCGACCUGAGAGGGUGAUCGGCCACACUGGACCUGAGACACGGCCCAGACUCCUACGGGAGGCAGCAGUGGGGAAUCUUCCGCAAUGGGCGAAAGCCUGACGGAGCAACGCCGCGUGAGUGAUGAAGGUCUUCGGAUCGUAAAACGCUGUUAUUAGGGAAGAACAAAUGGGUAAGUAACUAUGCACGUCUUGACGGUACCUAAUCAGAAAGCCCCGGCUAACUCCGU
rnacentral:rRNA from 1 species